rnacentral:tRNA from 1 species
GUCUCCGUGGCGUAAUCGGUUAACGCGUCCGACUGUUAUUAAUUAUUAAUUACUAAUUACUAAAAGAGAUCGGGAGAUUCACAGUUCGAUUCUGUGCGGGGACG